UGUUGUGACCUUGGAUACCACCUGGAGUGCCUUGACCCACCUCUUGAACAAGUGCCAAUUGAUGAAUGGUUUUGUUCUGACUGCCAAGCUGUCAACAGCACGGCAACAUGCACUGAGGUGGAUAUUGAAGAUGGGGAACUUCAUGACCUUAUUGAUGAUGGUGCUCCAAGUUCAUCUCUUCCUACUUUGCGUCCCUCACGUAAUAACAGACAGGCUGCUGGGCAGCCUCGUAGAGUUAGGCUUUUGCCCCGCACUCGUGCCUCUGAGAGGGUUCGUGCACGUAUAACACGUUCUCGAAAACAGAGGGCAAGGCCAACCAUCACAGAAGAACAAGAAAAAGAAUAUGAGGCUGUAAUAGAUGCUGUGGCAGCUGCUUGUGGUAGUGCCACUGUAAGUUGGCCAUUG